AGAGUUUGAUCAUGGCUCAGAUUGAACGCUGGCGGCAGGCCUAACACAUGCAAGUCCAGCGGUAGCACAGAGAGCUUGCUCUCGGGUGACGAGCGGCGGACGGGUGAGUAAUGUCUGGGAAACUGCCUGAUGGAGGGGGAUAACUACUGGAAACGGUAGCUAAUACCGCAUAACGUCGCAAGACCAAAGUGGGGGACCUUCGGGCCUCAUGCCAUCAGAUGUGCCCAGAUGGGAUUAGCUAGUANGUGGGGUAAUGGCUCACCUAGGCGACGAUCCCUAGCUGGUCUGAGAGGAUGACCAGCCACACUGGAACUGAGACACGGUCCAGACUCCUACGGGAGGCAGCAGUGGGGAAUAUUGCACAAUGGGCGCAAGCCUGAUGCAGCCAUGCCGCGUGUAUGAAGAAGGCCUUCGGGUUGUAAAGUACUUUCAGCGAGGAGGAAGGCGUUAAGGUUAAUAACCUUAGCGAUUGACGUUACUCGCAGAAGAAGCACCGGCUAACUCCGUGCCAGCAGCCGCGGUAAUACGGAGGGUGCAAGCGUUAAUCGGAAUUACUGGGCGUAAAGCGCACGCAGGCGGUCUGUUAAGUCAGAUGUGAAAUCCCCGGGCUCAACCUGGGAACUGCAUUUGAAACUGGCAGGCUUGAGUCUUGUAGAGGGGGGUAGAAUUCCAGGUGUAGCGGUGAAAUGCGUAGAGAUCUGGAGGAAUACCGGUGGCGAAGGCGGCCCCCUGGUACAAGACUGACGCUCAGGUGCGAAAGCGUGGGGAGCCAACCGGAUUCGAUACCCUGGUAGUCCACGCCUGUAACGAUGUCGACUUGGAGGUUGUUCCUUUANGAGUGGCUUCCGGAGCUUACGCCGUUAGUCGACCGCCU
rnacentral:rRNA from 1 species